rnacentral:lncRNA from 1 species
CGAACUCUGGCUCUUGUUAUUGUUCCGGUGUAGGUUGCAGUCGUCGGCGGGAUGUUACGCGUGGAUGUUGCGGCCUGAUUUAUUUUGGUCUUUUUCUUCAAUACCGUUUUCCAAGUUGUAGGAA